rnacentral:lncRNA from 1 species
CUGGCUGGAAUAGAAGCACACAGAGAGGCAGCUUGUGAGGCUCCUGGGCUAGAGAGGACCAGGCUCCAACAAGAGACUGAAGACCAGCUCACUGAAGCUCAUCGUGGAGAAGCAAGUUCACUGGACUUACUUACAGAGAGUGGGUCCUUGAAAAACAACCCUGUAAGCAGUUUCUUGGUGGGCUCUGCUCCAGUUGCCGCCUGCUUUGAGCUCCUGCCUCGGCUUCCCGCAACGAUGAACUGAAACUUGCGAGGAUGUAAGCGUCCUGACCAUUGUGUCUGCUGCUACAAUUCCCCGCCAUGAUGGACUCUUCUCUUUCUGGAGCUAUAAGUUCAAGUAAACGUUCCCUUCUGUGCAACAUGCUGGACCAGCUGGCUCACCCUAUCAUG